GGCCACUUUGCCUAAUGGUUACGGCCUCCAUGGUCAAUUUUGCGGAUGCGUCAAAAUGUAUCAAUGGGUGGUGUGGGUUCGAAUCCCACAGUGGUCG